rnacentral:rRNA from 1 species
AGUGAACGCUGGCGGUAGGCCUAACACAUGCAAGUCGAACGGCAGCACAGUAAGAGCUUGCUCUUACGGGUGGCGAGUGGCGGACGGGUGAGGAAUACAUCGGAAUCUACUUUUUCGUGGGGGAUAACGUAGGGAAACUUACGCUAAUACCGCAUACGACCUACGGGUGAAAGCAGUGGAUCUUCGGACCUUGCGCGAUUGAAUGAGCCGAUGUCGGAUUAGCUAGUUGGCGGGGUAAAGGCCCACCAAGGCGACGAUCCGUAGCUGGUCUGAGAGGAUGAUCAGCCACACUGGAACUGAGACACGGUCCAGACUCCUACGGGAGGCAGCAGUGGGGAAUAUUGGACAAUGGGCGCAAGCCUGAUCCAGCAAUACCGCGUGAGUGAAGAAGGCCUUCGGGUUGUAAAGCCCUUUUGUUGGGAAAGAAAAGAAGCAGGUUAAUACCCCGCUGUUCUGACGGUACCCAAAGAAUAAGCACCGGCUAACUUCGUG